AAAAACUGAAACGCACGCCGUGGUGGGGAAAGAAGGUUCCGAGCGCGCCGUUCUUCUUCUCUCAUUGCAUCUAUCGAUCUCUACAUACUCCGCUAUCUGCCAAGCCUUCGAGGUCUGCCACCACCAGAGAUUUUUUGUUGCUGUCAACCUGGAUCCCCAUGGUCGCCACCGCCGUCGGCUUUGCUGGUCUGCUGCCGUCGGCUUUGCUGGUCUGCUGCCGGCCGGGUGCCGGCGUCCUCUUCCAAAAUCACCUGGAUUAGAGGAUCACAGGUUAUGGCAUAUAUAGUCCAGUUCAUUUUCAGGACGCCUGCAUAAUGUUAGAUAAAUAUAUCGGAAUACACCCUUCAGAUAUGUGAUAGUAAAGCCCAUGAUCAAAUAAUGCACACUGAUCCCAAUUUCAAAGGUUUGUUUUUUAUUUCCUUAAUUUGCCGGCACAUUACAACUUCCAAAUGCCUUAUGGUGUUCAGCUGCAUGUUCUCCCUCCUCAUGCAGUGGUAACUGACAUAGUUUCUCUCCCAUAUAAGCAGUUGAGAUUCUUUCUUCCUGCCGUCUUCACAGAUUAUGGUCCACAAAUUACAAAUUUUCUCAGAUAAUUUACCUUGAUGGGAUGAAUUUGAAGUCUCUGUUGUGGACACCCGUUGUUUGUUGGUGCCGCGUGUGUUAGCUGGGACACAUCUGAAGCCCUUGAAGGAUAGACAAGAUGUGGUGAACCUGAGCCAAUCCUCCCUAUAAGUUGCAUCCCUCUCUGGACCAACUUAUGCUUGGAGCCCCAAACUGGUAUUCUGCUGUGCAGAGACUUUUGUCGUGCAGUACUUCGCACACAAAAGCAGGUGAUAAGGAAUUGCAAUACAAAUUUUCUCAGAUCAUAGAUUGGUGUCAGUCCUGACAACUCCAUCCUUCUCGGAAAAACAUCGCAGCUCCACCGCACCAAUUUCUCUCCGUCGCAAGCGACUCUGCCGCUCCAGUCACCCGUGCCACCCUAUUCGCCCUCUUCUCCUUGGCUGCAGGGCUCUGCCUUGCUCAGGAUCGACCAGCACGUUGCUCUACCGACUGCCCUCCAUUUGCAAUGUCCUAUCAACUCCAAUCUUCCAUUGGCAAAGUACAAGCCAACCUGAUUUGGCGUAUCACCGCAGCCUUCAAUCCGCCUCCACGCGGUCGACUCGCCUCUCAACUUUGUUCAAAACUUGCAUGGACGCUGCAAUCCACCCGCAAACACGCCAUGCUCCAACCACGUGCACCUAUAUCCCAGGCCUUAAAAAUCUUCUCAACAUGUACGUGUGCUGCAGCCAGCAAUCCAAGUCUGUAAGGCUAAUCAAUAUCAGAAUAGAAGCGCUUCGCAGUCCUGGACACCGUCGAGUUUGUCGCCCACCAAACUCAGGCAGGUAACCCCAAACAUUAACACACAUGCUUUGUUCUUGGCUCUACUAUGCCUUUUGUGUAGCAUUGAAGGUCCUUUUUCUCUUAUCAUAAACAGAGGCGAUGUAAUCUCUUUUAAUAUUCUAUCUUUUGUAAGCAUCAAGAUGCAUAUAUUCUUUAUAUUUUAAUGUCAUUCUAUUUUUCA